GGCUUCGUGGUUGAGUGGUAAAGACACUUGUUUCUAAUCCUGCAGUCCCGGGUUCGAUCCCCGGUCGAGAAGCUA